rnacentral:rRNA from 1 species
UACAGAGGGGGCGAGCGUUAUUCGGAAUUACUGGGCGUAAAGCGCGCGCGGGCGGUUAUGCAAGUCAGGGGUGAAAGCCCGAGGCUCAACCUCGGAACGGCCUUUGCGACUGCAUGACUAGAGACCGGGAGAGGAGAGUGGAAUUCCCAGUGUAGAGGUGAAAUUCGUAGAUAUUGGGAAGAACACCAGUGGCGAAGGCGGCUCUCUGGCCCGGACCUGGACGCUGAGGCGCGAAAGCGUGGGGAGCAAACAGG